CCGAGUAAUAAGUCGCAGGGAUCAGCCUCCUCGGUUUAUUUCUUUUUUAUCCCAAGCGUGCGGCUCCGGCGACGUGCAGCUUUACAAAACGCUGAAGACGUUCCUUGUUAUCUCAUGUAUGCACAGGACCUGAUAAAAUGCCCCAAGAGUCCUGAAGAAAUUUUCUGACGUGGUUGCCAAGCCUCUCUUGAUGAUAUUUAAAAAAUCACAGCAGCAAGAUAAAGCUCCUGGUGACUGAAAAAAUGGAAACAUCACACCCACUUUUAAAAUGGAUAAAAAGGAGGACUCUGGGGACUACGGCCCUGCCAGCCUCAUCUCUGUGCCUGAGAAAAUUGUGGAACAGAUCCUCCUAGAAGUUCUGCAAAGGUACAUGGACAGGGAAGUGAUU